GAUAAACGCUGGCGGCGUGCCUAAUACAUGCAAGUCGAGCGAACGGACGAGAAGCUUGCUUCUCUGAUGUUAGCGGCGGACGGGUGAGUAACACGUGGGUAACCUACCUAUAAGACUGGGAUAACUUCGGGAAACCGGAGCUAAUACCGGAUAAUAUUUUGAACCGCAUGGUUCAAAAGUGAAAGACGGUCUUGCUGUCACUUAUAGAUGGAUCCGCGCUGCAUUAGCUAGUUGGUAAGGUAACGGCUUACCAAGGCAACGAUGCAUAGCCGACCUGAGAGGGUGAUCGGCCACACUGGAACUGAGACACAGUCCAGACUCCUACGGGAGGCAGCAGUAGGGAAUCUUCCGCAAUGGGCGAAAGCCUGACGGAGCAACGCCGCGUGAGUGAUGAAGGUCUUCGGAUCGUAAAACUCUGUUAUUAGGGAAGAACAUAUGUGUAAGUAACUGUGCACAUCUUGACGGUACCUAAUCAGAAAGCCACGGCUAACUACGUGCCAGCAGCCGCGGUAAUACGUAGGUGGCAAGCGUUAUCCGGAAUUAUUGGGCGUAAAGCGCGCGUAGGCGGUUUUUUAAGUCUGAUGUGAAAGCCCACGGCUCAACCGUGGAGGGUCAUUGGAAACUGGAAAACUUGAGUGCAGAAGAGGAAAGUGGAAUUCCAUGUGUAGCGGUGAAAUGCGCAGAGAUAUGGAGGAACACCAGUGGCGAAGGCGACUUUCUGGUCUGUAACUGACGCUGAUGUGCGAAAGCGUGGGGAUCAAACAGGAUUAGAUACCCUGGUAGUCCACGCCGUAAACGAUGAGUGCUAAGUGUUAGGGGGUUUCCGCCCCUUAGUGCUGCAGCUAACGCAUUAAGCACUCCGCCUGGGGAGUACGACCGCAAGGUUGAAACUCAAAGGAAUUGACGGGGACCCGCACAAGCGGUGGAGCAUGUGGUUUAAUUCGAAGCAACGCGAAGAACCUUACCAAAUCUUGACAUCCUUUGACAACUCUAGAGAUAGAGCCUUCCCCUUCGGGGGACAAAGUGACAGGUGGUGCAUGGUUGUCGUCAGCUCGUGUCGUGAGAUGUUGGGUUAAGUCCCGCAACGAGCGCAACCCUUAAGCUUAGUUGCCAUCAUUAAGUUGGGCACUCUAAGUUGACUGCCGGUGACAAACCGGAGGAAGGUGGGGAUGACGUCAAAUCAUCAUGCCCCUUAUGAUUUGGGCUACACACGUGCUACAAUGGACAAUACAAAGGGCAGCGAAACCGCGAGGUCAAGCAAAUCCCAUAAAGUUGUUCUCAGUUCGGAUUGUAGUCUGCAACUCGACUACAUGAAGCUGGAAUCGCUAGUAAUCGUAGAUCAGCAUGCUACGGUGAAUACGUUCCCGGGUCU
rnacentral:rRNA from 1 species